UGCAGAACUUCUAGCACCUCCGGAGAGAGAAAAGUGAGGGAAGCCCAGGUCUAGUGAGCCAAAAAGCCCGGAAAAGCAAGCCCUCCCCAGCACCCUAAAACGAAAACCCAGAUGCCCUUCAGGACAAUCGGCCAUCACCCAAAGCACAGAGCAGCGAAUCUCCAGUCGAAGGACCCGUUUAUUCGUGGCUGCUUUGGUCCUCCGCUUUCUUAAGGAGUUAAAUUCAUAUCAUCAAAGGCUCUUAUUCAAGUAAGCAACAAUACUCCAAUCUGGCUAUGCAUGAAAAUCACUUGGGAUGUUUCUAAAAGUGAGAUUCCUGGAUCUACCCUGAAGGUUCCUGAUAAGGCCCAAAGCCACUUCUUGAGCAUGAGGCUCAUGUGCAAUGGCACUUGUUGGAGUUGCCAGGUGAAACACAGGGCACCCAGAUAAUUUGAAUUUCUGAAUGACAACGAAAAAUCUCUAAUCCCACCAUUCCAACCAGAGCAGAAGGGCAGCCGUGAAGGAACCACAAUUCCUGGAUCGGGGUGGGCAAGAGGCUAACCCUUGCCGAGGACCCACCAGACACAGUGGUGCUGCCAGCUGUGUCUGAGAACAGAGAUGGUCCUGACGUGCCCUACCUAAAUGCGUCAUAGGGAAUGUUCACUCAGCCUCAGCCCUACCUGUGCCCACAUCCAGUCCCCAGCCAGGGCCAGGGAGCAAUGAUGGGACACAGGGGCACUUGCUCUGCCGACAUGGCCCGCUCACUACCCCAGGGAGGGGACAGGAAGGGGCAGAGUGGGCAUCACUCCAACUGCUGGGGGUGUAGGAAUUGAGGGGAAGUGUAGGAAGCCAAGAAACUGACCAGGGAAGGUGGGGAGACAGUGGGAGGUGGGACUCAUGAACUGUGGCUCCAAGCCUCUUGAGUACUGUUCCUUCAGACUUCACGUACAAAACAUAAACUAAAAGGUAAAAUUGUUAUAUUAGAUUGCUAGGGCUGCUGUAGUGAAGUACCACAGACUGGGUGGCUUAAAAAGCAGAAAUUUAUUUCCUCACUUGUUUGGAAGCUAGAAGUCCUACAUCAAGAUGUCCCUUACAGGUUGGUUUCAUCUGAGGCCCUUCUCCUUGGCUUGUAAACAGCCAUCUUGUUUCUCUUCCUUUACCACGUCUUUCCACUGUGUCUGUGUCCUAAUCUCUUCUUUGUACAAGAAAACAAGUCAUAUUGGAUUAAGGCUUACCCCAGUGACCUCAUUCAACCGUGUCUUUAAAGACACCAUGUUCAGAAUCUUUUUUUUUUUUUAACAUUUAUUUAUUUUCAAGAGAGAGAAGCAGAGCUUGAGUGAGGGAGGGGCAGAGAGAGAG